GAUGAACGCUGGCGGCGUGCUUAACACAUGCAAGUCGAACGGUGAAGGCGGAGCUUGCUCUGCUGGAUCAGUGGCGAACGGGUGAGUAACACGUGAGCAAUCUGCCCCUGACUCUGGGAUAAGCGCUGGAAACGGCGUCUAAUACUGGAUACGAGCUGCGAAGGCAUCUUCAGCAGCUGGAAAGAAUUUCGGUCAGGGAUGAGCUCGCGGCCUAUCAGCUUGUUGGUGAGGUAAUGGCUCACCAAGGCGUCGACGGGUAGCCGGCCUGAGAGGGUGACCGGCCACACUGGGACUGAGACACGGCCCAGACUCCUACGGGAGGCAGCAGUGGGGAAUAUUGCACAAUGGGCGAAAGCCUGAUGAAGCAACGCCGCGUGAGGGACGACGGCCUUCGGGUUGUAAACCUCUUUUAGCAGGGAAGAAGCGAAAGUGACGGUACCUGCAGAAAAAGCGCCGGCUAACUACGUG
rnacentral:rRNA from 1 species